rnacentral:lncRNA from 1 species
AGAGGAUCCCAGUUUCCGCGCUAACACGCAGCUGUCACAUCUAGUUGGAGACAGCCACUUCUUCCCAGCUGUUUACCUGCUCUGGCAAGAAGGCACCCUAUUCCAAAAGCGAGUAGGCUGGAGGAGGAGUCUGCAUGGUGCUUGCUGCAGGUCAAUUUUGUUUGGAAAUGAAUGCUAAGGAAAGCAUCGACUGAUCACUCCAGGUAGCAGUCUCACAACAUCAAUCUAUUGAUUUUUCACUGUAUGGGGUGAAGAAGAAACCACCAAGUCAGGUAUGACUUUCAGGCUCAAAAAUUAUCCACUUGAAAUUAAACAUAUAUAAUGCACUACAGACUGAAACUUUUAAAAUCCUCUUACAAUGGAACUUGAAGCAAGUGUUUUUGGAAAUUGCUAGAAGCAAUCUUUACUAUUUUUUUUCUCUAAUGCACAAUCACUGUUGUAGAAAGCAAACCAUAUAACCAUUUGUUAAGACUUCUACAUUGUAUUGUAUCCCACCUAAUAAUUAGCCUCUCAGAAUGUAUUCUGCCUAAAUGUCCCUAGCCACAUUUCCAAAGUAAUCUGAUGUUCAUUGUUCUUCCCUUUGGUAUGUACUGGUAGUCCACAGUAUCUUCUUAUUCUAAUCAGUAUUUCAAUGUCUGUUGAAAUGUCUGUUUAAAUGAAAGUAGCAGUGAUUAGUGGCACAGAUGUUUCCCUGAAAUUAAAAAUGUAUGGGUUAAAACCACAAAUUAAGCCAAGUACAGUCUUUACAUGCAUAUUCAUGUUUAUUUGAAGGGGGGUGGAUGGUGGGGUAAACAUUGCUGUCAAGUGAAAAUACUACAGCCUAAAGUUGUGAAACUCUGACUGGGAAAAAGGGGGACAUCUGAAAAUAGGUCAGCAUCAACUCAAAGAAAGGUUAUAUAAUUUUAAUGUGUUGGAAAAAUAAAGUAUCACUUGCCUUCACUUGUGAUCCUUGGAGAGACCUGGGAAAGAGAAAUAAAACUUUUAAAAGCCCCCUAAAGUGCUAUAAAGAUCAGCAUAUAACAUUUAGUUGCCAAAUGCAACUAUUUAUAAUCACUGAACAUUGACAUAUUGGGUAUAUUUGCUUCUUAUUUGUGUUUACACUUCAGUGUUAUACAUUAAGGUUUUAAUAUUUGACAAUGAGCAAAGUUAAAGUACUUGUAUCAAUGAACUGAUAAUAAUUUCCUAGUUAAGGAAGUCAAUCUGUAUUUGGUGAUUUUUUUUCUUUUAGUAUCUUUCUUUCUAUUUGAAUUUUACAAGCAAUUAUAAUAUGAAGAUGAGAAUCCAUGAAUUAGAUUGAUUCCUUUAAUCAUGUCCACAUGUUAGAAACUAGUACUUAGUUUUCCUGAGCCCCUAGACCAUGCUGUAAUAUACUCCACUGGGGCUUUAUUUUCAUAGAUUUAGGAGAGUGCAGUGAUUGCCCUCUUGUGUUAUUAUACCUGAUUAAGAGGUUUUCCUUGCUCUCAGUUGAGGAGGAAGUUCCUCUAGUAAGACACCAGUCCUACUCCAUAUCCUAUAUCUCUCCACUCUGAUCCUGGUAGUGACUACUGUUUUGGACUAUAGUAAUUAAAUUAUGACUCCAUUAGAAUUGCUAAAACUUUUUAAGCAGGUUCUCAAUGAGGAAAGAAAUGCGAAAACAAAUAAACAGGUUAAAUUUUCUCAAUAUGUAUAUCACUAUUUUCAUCUUUAUGGGAAAACUAAAACCCCUUCCUUUCCAUUAACUAGACACAUUACUUGUGCUAUGGGUAGCUCAGGGUUUUCCUAUAGACCUUUACUAUCUUUGUUCAAUUGGUUAAUUAACUUGGUGAGAUAAAUUAGAUAGAUGAUAGAUAGAUAGAUAGAUAGAUAGAUAGAUAGAUAGAUAGACAGACCUAAGAAUAAGGAUUAAAGAAAAGAAAUAUACUCAAGAUCCAGGCACCUUCCCUGCCAGAGGAGAGGUGUCCACCGUGCCCAGGAGGAAUUUGCCAGAGCAUCUGCAGGAGCCAUCUUCAUUCCCGGAUCCUGCCAAGACUAGUCUGAACUAGUUAGAGUGUGGACUACAGAAGCUAACAGCUUCUGGGACAGGCGGGAGUCACAGAGCUUCUGUGGCAGACCCAGUUUCGGGCUCCAGACAUCUGGGCAACUUCUCUGCCAGAGGAGAGGUGUCCGCCCAGCCCAGGAUGACAUUGCCAGAGCAUCUGCCAGAGACAUUUGGUUCCCACUCCAGACAUCCGGGUACCUUCCCUGCCAGAGGAGAGAUGUGGGAGGGCUUUGCCAGAGCAUCUGCAGGAGCCAUCUUCAUUCCCGGAUACCACCAAGAUUAGUCUGCACUGGUGAGAGUGUGGACAACAGAAGCUAACAGCUUCUGGGACAGGCCCUGUUUUGGGGCCUUCAUCUUCUGCCAGGAGGCAAGUCCGAACAACAGAUAUCUCUGCACCUUCUCUGAAAGAGGAGAGCUUGCCUGCAGAGAGCGCUCUAACCACUGAAACUCAAGAGGGAGGUAGUCUCCCAGGUCUGCUGGUAGAGGCUAACAGAAUCACAAAAAGAACAAGCUCUAACCAGAGACAACUAUAACAACUGACUCCAGAGAUUACCAGAUGGCGAAUGGCAGAUGUAAGAAUCUUACUAACAGAACCAAGAUCACUCACCAUUAUCAGAACCCAGCACUCCCACCUCAGCCAGUCCUGGGUACCCCAACACAUCUGAAAAGCUAGACCUGGAUUUAAAGGCAUAUCUCAUGAUGAUGGUAGAGGACAUCAAGAAGGACUUUAAUAACUCACUUAAAGAAAUAUAGGUGAACACUGCUAAAGAGUUACAAGUCCUUAAAGAAAAAGAGGAAAACACAUCCAAACAAGUGAUGGAAAUGAAUGAAAACAUACUAGACCUAAAAAGGGUAGUGGAGACAAUAAAGAAAACCCAAAGUGGGGCAACGCUGGAAAGAAAUCUGGAAUCAUAUAUGCAAGAAUCAGCAACAGAAUUCAAGAGAUGGAAGAGAGAAUCCUAGCUGCAGAAGAUUCCAUAGAGAACAUUGGC